CUUUCACUCUCUUUAUACUAAAAGAUUGCUGAAUCUGUAGAUCUGAUCUCUCUCUAGUAAAAACCCUAACACCGCUGUUGAGGACGAUUUGAAUCACAAAAAAAACUGCAGUUGAGGAGUUAUUUGAUAUUAUAAGGUGGCAUCAAAAGAGGUUCAAGAAGAGAGCAAUUGCUGAGUAAGUUUGUGGAACAUGAGUGAGAAAAAUAGACCGGCUUAUGGAGCUAUACAUACGAUAUUCCGAUAGAGUUAAAGCAGAGACGAAAAUAAUGGACCAGCUUGGACUUGAUGAUUAAGAGAUGGAUGGGGAUGAGCGCUACGACUGAAAAAUGGAAUCUGGAUUGUACACUUUUCAGCUAAGUGAGCAUAAAACGUACGCAUAUGUAGAAGGUGUAUAUAAGUGCUUAGAAGAAAUAUAGGGCGCAAAACAGGAAGUGGUCUCACGCUGGAUCCUAACAGAUCGUUUGCCUCAAUUAAGAGUCGUUUUUCUCCAGUCCUAUACUAUCAGACUUGUAUCUUGUAAAGCGGACAUACUGGUUUGACAUGUAUAAGAACAUUGACAAAAUCUCGUUAGCUAGCUGUCCUGUGCUAACAAUUCAUGGAACAUCUGAUAAAGUUGUUGACUGUUCACAUUGGAAGCAAUUUUGGGAAUUGUGUAAAGAGAAAUAGUUGGUUCUAAAUGUUGGCCCUUGAUUUCAAGGCACAUGGCAAGUGCUAGUGAAGAAACUCAUAUUUACGCCGCCCAUUUGCAUGGAUCAACAACAAGAAAUAAGCACUUUAUUGUUUGCUAUGAACACAUUGCGGAGAAAGGGAAUGAAUGCCUCCAGUCUAUAAGCCACCACUGUACCACCAGUCCAUUCCACUACCACCUGUUGUUGCUUUGGUCUGCUAAUUUGGUUUCAAAUUUCAAGUUCACUAUCAGAUGAUUAUGCUGGAAGGAGCAAAAGCUACGAUAUAGGAUGUUGAUGCAUUAAGAAGUGGAGCUGCUGCAAUGAAGGCCACGCAAAAAGAAAAAUUUUUUAGCAGCUUCAGUGAAAGUGGACGUGCCACAUCUAUCUAGCACAUUGUUCUUGCUGGUUCCUCUGGUAGAAAUGACUCACAACCCAUGGUGAGAACUUAAACUUCAACCUUUGGGCAUGCCUCAUGCAGCAGAAAUGUUCACCUAGGUAGCUGGUUUCCUUAGUUCCAAAGAAUGUGAGAGCUCUUUUUUCUUUAAAUCGUUUUGUAAGAACCUUGGUGUGAUACUGAGUUCAUAGAUUUAUCCACAUGACAAUCCUUCAUAUGAUUUUUAUGGCGUGCUUCAUACAUUUUGUAUACGAGUUAAUCAUGGUGAAUUAACUCUAAGAACACUAUCUUGAUACUGCUAUUGGAUCAAUUUGAUUUCAAAUGAA